ensembl:snRNA U6 U6 spliceosomal RNA
GUGCUCACUUCAGCAGCACAUAUACUUAAAUUGGAACAAUACAGAGAUUAGUACGGUCCCUGUGCAAGGAUGACAGGCAAAUUCCUGAAGUGUUCCAUAUUUUC